UUCUGUAAAUUGGAAGAAAGAGACAGGUGAAUGGUUUACAAUAUUAUUACACUUAAUUUAUUGAUACUGCCUCCCAAUUUCAUGAUAGGAUGCAGUGAAAUUAUUUACUAAAGAGAUUCUGAAGAUGCUGGAAAUGUUGAGCGACAAAAUCGUGGAGGGUCUCAGAGGGUUGAGCAGUAUCUGCAGAGAGGAAUGAACAGGUGACGUCUUGGGCCGGGACCUUUCAUCAGGACUGGAAAGGAAGGAUGCUGCCUGGCCUGCUGAGUUCCUCCAGUAUUUUGUGUGUGUUGUAUUGGAUUUCCUUCAUCUGCAAAUUUUCCCGUCUACAUACAAUUGAGAACAUGAGUCCUGAAGAAGGGUCGCACCCGAAUCGUCCACUAUUUGUUCAUUUCCAUAGCUGCUGCCUGACCUGCUGAGUUCCUCCAGCAUUUUGUGAGUGUUGCUUUGAAUUUCCAGCAGCUGCAGAUUUUUGUUGUGUUCCUGAGUUGUAGAAUCCUUGAAAGUAAGCUUAUGGGCUCUGGAAUCAGAUCAGAUUUGAGAUGUUGACAAGCAACAUUGUCAAACGUAUUCAAGUGUUACCGACAAAGACUUGCCCAUCCACUGAAGAAUGAAGAACAGUGGGAAAGAACGGAAAGGAAAGUGGAAUGUUAUUAAAGUCAAGAGGAAGCAAAGAUAUUACAGAACUGUCUUCAUUUUUUAAAUGAUUUUGUUUGUACUUUUGUUUAUUUGUAUGAGAGAAAAAAACUCUUGAGAUAAGAAACCAAGAAAGGAAUUUUGUUCUUUGGACGAAGAAGUAAGAAUAUAAGUUAAUAAGAAAAAAAGCAUGGCAGGUAAUGCAACUAUUCAGCAUGCUCCACCAUUUAAUAAAUUUGUGUCUGUAUUCCUGCAUGAACUUUACUUUCCUGCCCACCACAACAUCAUUUGAUUCCUAUACAGGUUCACCCCAGGUUACAGCAGUGUGCAAGUCAGACAUGCAGCCGCGAACCAGAUCCAAGGCAGCAAAAUACUUCCAGGUCUGCAUAUAAAUUCACUCAACUUAUUUCUAACCUUCUAAUGACGAAGGGUCUCGGCCCGAAACAUCAACUGUACCUCUUCCUAGAGGUGCUGCCUGGCCUGCUGCCUUCACCAGCAACUUUUAAGAGCAUCUACUUUAUGUCCAUGUUGCGUGUCUUUAGCCACUCUGUUUAGGGAAAUAACUCCUUUCUAUUUUGCUUUAAACAGACCUCUCACAAUUUUAUACAACUCACUAAUUACCUCUGCACACCACUCCAUUCCAAAGCGCCCCAGUCCAUUAAGUCUUUCCUCAUAGCUGUAAUAUUCAAGCUCUCCAAUAGCUUUGCAAAUCUCCUUUGCACCCUCUCAAGCACAUUACACCUUUCCUUUAAUAUUGUGACCAGAACUGUACAAAAUACUUAAGCUGCGGUCUAGCUAGUACUGAAUACAGCAUGAUUAUAACUUCCCAAUACUUAUCUAUAGUGACUCUGCCAAAAAAGCAUUGUCUCUUUUACCAUUUUAUUGACCAUACUACUAAUUUUAAGAGUCUGCAGAUAUAGACUAAAUGGGCCCUCUCUCCUCAACAGCUUUCAAUAUCUUUCCAUUGUGCAUUGUCUUGUGGCGCAUUCCCAGAUGCAUCACCUCACGCUACUCUAGAUUAAAUUUUACUUGCCAUCUUUCUGCCCAAUCAAACAAACCAACUAUACAAAAGAGCUGAUCAUGGAUUACAGGAAGGACAGAAACAGGCUUGCCCCGAUCAACAUCAAUGGGUCCGCAGUUGAGUAGGUGAGUGCUUUCAAGUUCCUCGGUAUACACAUCACUGAAGAUCUCACCUGGACUGUACACACUGGCAGUGUGGCAGAAAAAGCACAACAGUGUCUCUUCCACCUCAGGUGACUGAAGAAGUUUGGCGUGAGUCCUCAAAUCCUCAAGACCUUCUACAGGGGCACCACUGAGAGCAUCCUGAUUGGCUGUAUCAACGCCUGGUACGGGAACUGCACCAACCUUGAUUGCUGGGCACUGCAGAGAGUGGUAUGAACAGCCCAGUGCACCUGUGGAUAUGAACUUCCCUCCAACCUGCAGCAGGUGAAUAAAGGAGGCCUGGAAGAUCAUCGGAGACACCAGUUACCCCAAACAUAAACUGUGUCAGCAGGUUCCAUCUGGCAAAUGGUACCAGAGUACUAAAGCCAGGACCAACAGGCCACAGGACAGCUUCUUUCUACAAGCCAUUAGACUUAUAAAUUCACGGAGUCAUAAUGCAAAGAUUUUUACUCCCUCAUGUUGUGGGACGGAUGUAAGAUUUAAAUAAAUUCAAUUCAAUAUCUCUCUAUGGGCUAAAACUUUCCUCCUCAUUGUCAACUAAUUUUUUUUUUAUCAGCUUCCAAGUUUUUGAUCUUAUUUUUGAUUAUAUUUAAUCAAAUAUUUAUAUUUUUGAUUAUAUUUUAAAGAAAAUCAUUAAUAUUAUGUAGUACAAAGACCAAGAGAUCGCAUACUAGGCCACAUAGAAGCCUACUAGUAGCAGCCUUCAAGUUACAACAAAUCUCUUUCAAUUAUUAACCCUUGGUUCUUGCCAAUUUUAUAGAGGCUAUUUAUGGCAGCCAAAUAAACUUAAACUUAAUUAAACAAAUUAAUACUGGCGUAACUUUGAGAUAAAGGAGAAACCCAGAAUACCAAGGAAAAACCCACAGAAUCACAAUUUCUGUCAGAUCUCCACACAUAUUAAAUAUUUCAUUGCAUGUACAAUUAAGCUUUCUUCUACAAUGUGCCCCACCAAGCGUCUUCAUCUGUUACAUAAGUACUGUGCAACUUCCUCCAGCAGAUUGGCAUUUGAACUGAGUUGUCCUCUGCUGUCAAAACCAGUGUUUUACCAUCUACAGGCGAUAUUGUUAUGCCAUCCUUAGGUUACUCACUAUGUCACUCUUUCAUUUGUAAAAUUAGGUCAUGGUGAAUCUUUAUCCUCAAAGUUUCCUUGCUGUUCCUCCAUGACUUAGCGAGGCUGCAGUACUUUCUUACAGAAGGGUUUUCUGAAGACAGAUGAUGCAAUAAAAAAACAAGACUUCAGAAGUACUGGAAAACUAGAAACCUGCAAGUCAGGAAUAAUCUGGGCCAUGGACAAUUCUGAUUUGAUGGAGAUGGAUGUGAAAGCACAGAGGAACAUCUGGAAAAAUUUCUGAAAUGCUCGUUCGCUGCUGUCGUUACUGCGUGGUCGGGAAUCUUUCGGAGGGUAGGCCUCAAAAUCCCC